rnacentral:rRNA from 1 species
CCUACGGGUGGCAGCAGUGAGGAAUAUUGGUCAAUGGGCGUAAGCCUGAACCAGCCAAGUCGCGUGAGGGAUGAAGGUUCUAUGGAUCGUAAACCUCUUUUAUAAGGGAAUAAAGUGUGGGACGUGUCCUAUUUUGUAUGUACCUUAUGAAUAAGGAUCGGCUAACUCCGUGCCAGCAGCCGCGGUAAUACGGAGGAUUCGGGCGUUAUCCGGAUUUAUUGGGGUUUAAGGGUGAGUAGGCGGCCUUUUAAGUCAGCGGUUAAAGUCUGUGGGCCCACCAUAGUAUUGCCGUUGAAACUGGGGGUCUUGAGUAUGUGAGAGGUAGGCGGAAUGCGUGGUGUAGCGGUGAAAUGCUUAGAUAUCACGCAGAACCCCGAUUGAGAAGGCAGCCUGCCAAGCCAUGACUGACGCUGAUGCACGAAAGCGUGGGGAUCAAACAGGAUUAGAUACCCUUGUAGUC